GGGCCUAUAGCUCAGUCGGUUAGAGCGGCCGGCUCAUAACCGGCUGGUCCCUGGUUCGAACCCAGGUGGGCCCACAA
rnacentral:tRNA from 1 species